rnacentral:rRNA from 1 species
UACCGACAGGUGGUUUUACAAGUCAGAAGUGAAAUCUUCAAGCUUAACUUGGAGAAUGUCUUUUGAAACUGUAAAACUUGAGGAGCAAAGAGGAAGCUGGAACCAGCGGUGUAGUAGUGAAAUGCGUUGAUAUCGCUGGGAACACCAAUAGCGUAGGCAGGCUUCUGGGUGCCUCCUGACACUGCUAGGACGAAAGCGUGGGGAGCGAUAAGGAUUAGAUACCCUUGUAGUCCACGCUGUAAACGAUGUACGUUAGGUGCUAGGGAGUAUCGACCCUUCUUGGUACCAAAGCUAACGCGUUAAACGUACCGCCUGGGGAGUACGGCCGCAAGGCUAAA